rnacentral:rRNA from 1 species
GGAUGAACGCUGGCGGCGUGCUUGAUACAUGCAAGUCGAACGGAGAGUGUAGCAAUAUACUUUUAGUGGCGAACGGGUGAGUAACGCGUUGGUGACCUGCCCCGAAGCGAGGGAUAACAGUUCGAAAGAACUGCUAAUACCUCAUGUGAUCACCGGUUUUAGAAUCUGGUGAUUAAAGGUGAAAAUCACUUCGGGAGGGGCCUGCGUCCCAUCAGCUAGUUGGUAAGGUAAUGGCUUACCAAGGCGAUGACGGGUAGGGGACCUGAGAGGGUGGCCCCCCACAAUGGAACUGAAACACGGUCCAUACACCUACGGGUGGCAGCAGUAGGGAAUAUUGGGCAAUGGUCGAAAGACUGACCCAGCCAUGCCGCGUGCAGGAUGAAGGCCCUAUGGGUUGUAAACUGCUUUUAGCCGGGAAUAAACACCCGUUUUAUAACGGGCCCGAAGGUACCGGCUGAAUAAGCAUCGGCUAACUCCGUGCCAGCAGCCGCGGUAAUACGGAGGAUGCAAGCGUUAUCCGGAUUCACUGGGUUUAAAGGGUGCGCAGGCGGACAUUUAAGUCAGGGGUGAAAUCCUACAGCUUAACUGUAGAACUGCCCUUGAUACUGAAUGCCUAGAGUAAAGCUGAAGUGGGCGGAAUGUGUUGUGUAGCGGUGAAAUGCUUAGAUAUAACACAGAACACCAAUCGCGAAGGCAGCUCACUAAACUUUAACUGACGCUCAUGCACGAAAGCGUGGGGAGCAAACAGGAUUAGAUACCCUGGUAGUCCACGCCCUAAACGAUGAUCACUCGCUGUUGGCGAUAUAUUGUCAGUGGCUAAGCAAAAGUGAUAAGUGAUCCACCUGGGGAGUACGACCGCAAGGUUGAAACUCAAAGGAAUUGACGGGGGCCCGCACAAGCGGAGGAGCAUGUGGUUUAAUUCGGUGAUACGCGAGGAACCUUACCAGGGCUCGAACGCAGGAGGAAUACUCCCGAAAGGAAGUAGCCAGAAAUGGCCGCCUGCGAGGUGCUGCAUGGUUGUCGUCAGCUCGUGCCGUGAGGUGUCAGGUUAAGUCCUAUAACGAGCGCAACCCCUAUUCAUAGUUGCCAGCAUAUUACGGUGGGGACUCUAUGAAAACUGCCUGCGCAAGCAGUGAGGAAGGUGGGGAUGACGUCAAAUCAGCACGGCCCUUAUGUCCUGGGCUACACACGUGCUACAAUGGCCGGUACAGAAGGCCGCAACCACGCAAGUGGAAGCUAAUCCCUAAAACCGGUCUCAGUUCGGAUUGGAGUCUGCAACCCGACUCCAUGAAGCCGGAUUCGCUAGUAAUCGCACAUCAGCCAUGGCGCGGUGAAUACGUUCCCGGGCCU